rnacentral:rRNA from 1 species
CCUACGGGUGGCAGCAGUGGGGAAUAUUGCGCAAUGGGCGAAAGCCUGACGCAGCGACGCCGCGUGAGGGAUGAAGGUCUUCGGAUCGUAAACCUCUGUCAGCAGGGAAGAACGGUCACUGUGCUAAUCAGCAGGGAAUUGACGGUACCUGCCAAGGAAGCACCGGCUAACUCGGUGCCAGCAGCCGCGGUAAUAUGAAGGGUGCGAGCGUUAAGCGAAAUUACUGGGCGUAAAGCGCUCGUAGGCGGUAUGUCAAAGCAAGGGUGAAAUCCCCGCGCUAAACGUGGGAACUGCCUUGGAAAGUGGCAAACUGGAGUGUGUGAGAGGAUAGUGGAAUUCCAGGUGUAGGAGU